rnacentral:lncRNA from 1 species
UAUGUGAAACUGUUAAAAAAUUAAUAAGGGAAUCAAGUGAAAUACACAAGGCAACAAAUGAAGGUAUUUUAUUAUAACAAAAUAGUUAUACGACAAAGAAUUGGACAGCGGCUAGGAUCUCUAUUUUAUCAUACAAAAUAAGAAGAAUAAUGGGCGGCGACAAACGCGGCCCCUCCCUUCCACAUAUAAUAAACUAAAGUCAGAAAUCGAAAAACGUGUGUAAAAUAUACUUCACAAAUGAAAGAAAUAUAUAUAUGUGGAAAAUUGGGCUCGCAAUUCAAGAAUCUCCUGGAUGAUGUUCAAAAACAUGCAUCCAAAACGCAACAGCAGCACAAGGCAGCACAGCAUCCCUUCCAGAAGCCAUCACCUUUUGACUUAGUUUCUACAGCUGCAUGUCCAUGGGGAUUUGGGCCAUCUCUUGUUGGAUAACCAGCAGGUGGUGGGGCCUGCACAAAAUAAGGACUUGGAGCUGUGGAAUGAGGUGGGGAAGGGUAUGCUGCGCCGGAGUUAUUAGCUGAUGAACUCAUGAUCUUUGAAUAUUAAUAUUCAGACAGAGAAGAAAAUAAUGAAAUUAAGGUAGAGAAGUAUUUGUGUUUUGGU